CUGGCAGGAAUUAUUUUCCGCCAAUGAAUGGGCUGAAAAAGGAAAAUUGUAUCCUUCAUCACAGGCAAAUUUGGAUUCUAGAGUGCUUCUUUACCUUGACUAAGAGACACCAGAUAUUUUAACUAACGACUAUAUUAAAAAGGUUAAACUUCAGCUUAACUCUUUCCAUGUUAGCAAAACACAGCUUUGCAGAAAAUGCAAUGUGAUUUUCAAAAAAAGAAUAUUUGCUUUUCACAUAGAUUACCUAGCAGAGCAAGCAAGGUGAAAUUCCAAAAUAAUAAACAGGUUCUUUUUCUCCCAUGAUGGACAACUUAGUUCAAAGUGGCAUACUGGAAUCAAAGUGUGGGUGACUUUACAAUCUGUAAUCCUCUGGGCUCCCCUCCAUAUCAUCUCUACCCACCAAAAAGAAAAAAGAAAAAAGGGGCCAUAAAGAUGUCACUAGAACCGAAAGGUCAGGCACAGACUCAGAUAAACAAUUUGAGUCAACACUAAAAGGGAAUUUGGUCAGAGUGGGAGUAAAAGGCAGGGUGAGGCAGAAAUAAGAUGCCUGUUUCUAUGGUUUUAGAGAAAAGCUAAGGCUCUGUGAAGGACAUUUUCUACUGAGAGAAUUGGUCAAAUAGGAGCAUUGAAAGAGAUGAGUUAAAAGACGGGAAGAAAAGUUCUUUUGCUGUCUGUUUUGUGGGCAAGGGUUCUAAGCAUAGAGGUUUAUUUCAAUGACACAACCAGAGGCUUACUGAGUUGCUUACUAAGAGUAAAUCACCCUGAAAGGCCCUUAGAAUGAAAUACAAAAAAAGGGAGUACGGACUACUUAGGGAGCUGACUAAAAUGCAUAUUCCUGAGCCCAGAGGAGGGCCUAGAAAUCUGCAUUUCAACAAGCCAAUCCUUCCCUCCCACAUCCCCCUACCCCCACCCCAGAUUAUUCAAUUCAAAAGUAUUUAUGAGGUCAUUAACAGAAUUUGGAAUUAAAGAGAAGUCCAAGAUAAAGUCUAGGACUGGGCCUUCGAAACCUGCCACUCAAGUUCUUCUGAGUAUAAUGUUAAGGGCCACAGGUGCACCUCGACUUUGAUGUAGUUCCUGGCUACCAACUUGUAACACAACAGAUUUUCCUGCUUAAGAAAGAAUGCAAAACAUACCUGGGCUAGCCUGCUGGAGGAUGAGAGAUGUGUGGAGUCCAGCUGAGUCCCAAGUCAUCAUAGGGGAGGUCAUCCUAGAUCAACAACCAGCCCGUCAACCCCGGAUAUGGGAGCAAGCCCAGCCAAGGUCAGCAGAGCUGUCUGGUUAGCAGCCCCGAACCCUGCCCCCAGAAGCACAAACAAUAAACUCCUACUGUUGUGUGCGAUGGGGGUUUUGUGGUUCUUUGUUACUAUGUUACUCCAAGUCCUCUAAGAAGCAUAUGCCAAGUUAGGAUAAAAUGUACAAGGAUUUUAUUGUGGAGACACUUCUGAGAGAAAACAGAGAGGGAGCGGAACUAGCAGAGCUGUCAGAGGGCAAUGCAAGUCUGACACCAAGUGAAGGAAAGAGGGAAGGAAGGUUGGGUGGAAACAUCUUAGCCUGUCGUGCAGCCAGGAAAGGUCAGCAAGGCUACCAGGGAACCUCAAGGCAAAGUCAGCUGUCAGAGGAGUCUCAAGCCUUCCAGGAACAGGUUGGCCUUAGUAUCCCACUGUGCCCAGCCAUUGGCUGGA